ACGGGGUGCAGCAGGCGCGAAAACUUGGCAAUGCGAGAAAUCGUGACCAGGGAACUCCAAGUGCGUAGGGUAAGACCUACGCUUUUCUUGACUCUUCAAAGGUCUUGGAAUAAGGGGUGGGUAAGGACGGUGCCAGCCGCCGCGGUAAUGCCGGCGCCUCAAGUGGUAGUCGCUUUUAUUGGGCCUAAAACGUCCGUAGCCGGUCUGGUGCAUUCGUGGGUAAAUCAACCCGCUCAACGGGUUGAAUUCUGCGAGCACGGCCAGACUUGGGACCGGGAGAGGUGUGGGGUACUCUCAGGGUAGGGGUAAAAUCCUGUCAUCCUGAGAGGACCACCUGUUGCGAAGGCGCCACACUAGAACGGAUCCGACGGUCAGGGACGAAACCUAGGGGCACGAACCGGAUUAGAUACCCGGGUAGUCCUAGGUGUAAACGCUGUGGACUUGAUGUUGGGGGCGCUCCGAGCGCUCUCAGUGUCGAAGCGAAGGUGAUAAGUCCACUGCCUGGGGAGUACGGUCGCAAGGCUGAAACUUAAAGGAAUUGGCGGGGGAGCACUGCAACCUGAGGAUUGUGCGGUUUAAUUGGAUUCAACGCCGGA
rnacentral:rRNA from 1 species